CAAGCCGCCGCUGCUAUCGUGAUAACGAGGUCUCCAAGGCGUCGGGAAGUCCGUGCCAAUGUAGUGUUGGGUUGCCGUCGCCGAACGUUCUUCUGUCAGUAGUGUGCGAGACACGCGCUGCACGUGACGUGUAUUCGUUGAACUUGUGCGUGAUAGUGUGCGCGUAACUACACGUUAUCAUUGAAUUAUUUUGUCGAGUAGAAACAUAUUAUACUGUCGUUUUGUCUUGAAAUAACAUUUGUAGUGGCAGCCCUAGUGGAAUGUCCAAAACUGACGAUAGAUCGAGUAUAGUAUAAUUGUAUUUUGAAGAUUCAUUAACUAUUAAUAAUUUUUUAUCCAUGUGUAGAUAUAUUUCUUGAUAAAAGUUCAAAUAUAUAAAUAUAUAUAUAUAUAAUAAAUAUUUUUACACAUGUAAUAUUUUACACGCGAAAUUCGGAAAAAUUUAGAACGUCAUGUGAAUUAUUGACAGUAGUUAAUUGAACCCUACCGCUGGAUCAUUUUUUCCGUUUAGUUGUACCAAGUUCGUUUUGCGUGUGACUUCGAAAAAGGCGCCAAAGAGACCUUCGCUUAUCGGCGGCUAUCACCAUGCUCGCCAUGUUAGCCGCGUGCACGUUAUUCACUGUAGCCGCCUCGUCGACAUCGUCUUCGGAUCCUUGGCCAGCGGCCGUGUCGUCUGCGGACGAGUCCAACGACUCGUAUACAACUGCUUAUUUGAACGUGACCUACUACGAUGUGGACACCGGCAUGGUCAUACAGUCGGACAAGUCGGAAAUAGGCAAAUUCGGCGAGUAUCACGUGGGCGCCGCUACAGGCCGUCUUGUGCAGAUGUUAGGCACCGACGGCGACCGCAACGGAUGCGCUCCACCGGUGCGCACCAUCCCCGAGUUCCUGCCCGGUGGCCCUUGGAUAGCGCUGGUACGACGGGGCAAAUGCAGCUUUCAGACCAAAGUAGACAACGCCCGCCGGGCUGGCGCCUCCGCCGUGAUCGUGUACAACGAUCGCGAGGCAACGGACCUCGACAAAAUGAAACUGUUACCAUCCGAUCCUAGAAAUCUAAGCGCAGUUUUCACGUACAAAUGGAAGGGCGAAGAUAUGGCAAGGAUGUUGGAAGACAAGAAUAGAAAAGUGGUGGUCAAAAUAACUAUUGCUAGCCACUGCACUAGACCAUAUGCUAAUAUAAACAGGACGUCCGUACUGUUUGUAAGCAUAUCGUUCAUUGUGCUGAUGGUAAUUUCACUGGCAUGGCUCGUGUUCUACUAUAUCCAACGAUUCCGUUAUAUACAUGCUAAAGACCAGCUAUCCAGACGAUUGUGUAAUGCAGCCAAAAAAGCUCUUUCUAAAAUACCCACAAAACAUAUCAAAGUGGACGACAAGGAAAUCAUUGGAGACGGCGAUUGUUGUGCCGUUUGUAUUGAACCAUACAGACCGUCCGAAGUGGUACGAAUAUUGCCAUGCCGACACGAGUUCCAUAAGAGUUGUGUUGACCCUUGGCUGUUAGAACACCGAACUUGUCCAAUGUGUAAAAUGGAUAUUCUGAAACACUACGGUUUUUUGUUCACAAGCAGCCAAGAAAGUUUUUUACAUAUAGAAGUAGAAGAAGCCACAAAUGAUUAUAAUGUCUACCAGUACUCUAGAAGUCGUAGUUUUAUGGAUACAAUGCAAAAUUCUAGAACGAUACCAGACGUCGCAGCUGUUACAGCAGUUGGGUUCGAGCCACAUAGCCGUUCAUCAACUCCAGACGAACUUACACCGGCAUUACCGCCAGUUCAGCCUGUUGCUUUUGCAACCAACCGAUCCACAUCGCACGAGUUCACAACACGAGUAGACACUGAUGAUACUAUCCAGUUUUAACGUGCGAUUACAAUAGUUUGAAGUUGAAUUUACUCUCACAAAAAUAUUAUAUUAAUUUUCAUAAGACUGUUGUUAACGUGCUUGGUUCAAGUACUGGAAAUUUAUUGAUACAGACUGGUGGAACAGGUAUCUAGGACCUAUACGGCAAACACGUUCUUCAGAUGGUUUCUAAAACAAUAAAACAAUUCAGAAUGGAUGUGAUACUAGUCUUUAAGAUUAAUUAACCUUUUUUUUUUUAAAUAAAAUGUACCUUAAUUGCAAGUCUAUAUUUCCAAGAUAGAAAUAGACUUACUAUUAGGCACAAAAUUAAAAUUUUAAUUGACAAUGACAAUUUCCUUUUAAGUUAUUGAAGCUGGAAAAACUAUACCUAGUCAGUAUUCCUAUAUGUUAGUCUCUGAUUAUGACUGGCAUAAUUAGACUUAAAUGUGAAAUGAUUUUUUUGUGUAACUAUAUUUUAUAUAGAAAUAAAUGUAUAAUUAUUA